UAGGGAAUCUUCCGCAAUGGGCGAAAGCCUGACGGAGCAACGCCGCGUGAGUGAUGAAGGUCUUCGGAUCGUAAAACUCUGUUAUUAGGGAAGAACAAAUGUGUAAGUAACUAUGCACGUCUUGACGGUACCUAAUCAGAAAGCCACGGCUAACUACGUGCCAGCAGCCGCGGUAAUACGUAGGUGGCAAGCGUUAUCCGGAAUUAUUGGGCGUAAAGCGCGCGUAGGCGGUUGUUUAAGUCUGAUGUGAAAGCCCACGGCUCAACCGUGGAGGGUCAUUGGAAACUGGAAAACUUGAGUGCAGAAGAGGAAAGUGGAAUUCCAUGUGUAGCGGUGAAAUGCGCAGAGAUAUGGAGGAACACCAGUGGCGAAGGCGACUUUCUGGUCUGUAACUGACGCUGAUGUGCGAAAGCGUGGGGAUCAAACAGG
rnacentral:rRNA from 1 species